CUCUGUGUUCGCUGGUGGAGUACCGCGCAACUUGCAGCCAGAGGAGGCCCACUAGUUGCCUGUCGGCGAUGGACGAGCUCCUCGACAGACUCCGUGUACGAUGUGGUGGUGUCAGGAGGAGGCAUGGUGGGCUCUGCCAUGGCUUGUGCCUUGGGACAUGAUAUUCACUUUCAUGACAAGAAAAUCCUAUUGCUGGAAGCGGGUCCGAAGAAAACCCUGGAGAAACUGUCAGAAACUUACAGCAACAGAGUCAGCUCCAUAUCCCUUGGCUCCACAACCCUUCUCAGCAGUUUUGGUGCAUGGGACCACAUCUGCAAUAUGCGUUGCAAAGCCUUCCGGCGGAUGCAGGUGCCUUCUUGCCCUUUACUGUGUCGGGGUGACUUGUCUGUCUCAUGUUACCUUGUCUGCUUGCUCUAGGCUUUCUGUGAACCAAAUUUAAAUUAGUGUGGGGGCAUUCUUGAGAAUCUGCUUACUUUUUAAUUAAUUAAUUUGGUCGUUUUGAGAUAAGGGAUGUGGGUGAGACUUGCUGACCACCUGUAUCCACUUCCCAGGAGUUGGGGUCACAGAUGUGCCUACAUUCCUGACCGAGAGUCUCACUUUCUAUGCUGCCAAGGAGGCUGACAGUGUGUGCUCCGCUGCUCCUCGCCCUGGAAAUCGUAUUCAGCCUCGGGUUGGACCUGUGUUUCCUGUUCUAUGGUAUGGAUGCACUUUACUUUGUGUUUGCAG
rnacentral:lncRNA from 1 species